rnacentral:antisense_RNA from 1 species
GGGAAGGCAGGUGGCGACUGACGGAGCUGGGUGAAGGCAGCAGUCUGUCAACAACUGUGGCAUCCAGCUGGUCAGAAAGACUCGAGGAUUUGACAUUUUGUGGCUGUUCUCUAGAACCAAAGAAAUGAGAACCUCUUGGUAAAAUCCACUGGUCCAGGAGUUAUUAUCUCCUAGAUUAUCUGCCAAACAAAUUAUCUGCCAAAAUUACAAUGUAAAACUGAAGAAAACAACCGAUAACUCGGUUAAAAUUUUGGAAAAAUACAAAGAAACUGUGACUGGGGAGAAACAGAUUCUCUCUUUGAUUUUAUAAGCUGACAUGAUUUCUUGUUCUGUUGUGAAUGCACGCUGCUCUAGGCCUCAGUUAACCCAUCACACAUGUGCUCCACGCUGUCCACGGGUGCUUUUUCUGCAGUGUUAACGUCAUCUUCAUGGUUGGUAUCAUCAUGAACACCUUGAUUCAGAACCAUUCUGGCUAUUUCCCCAUCAGUCAAUGAAAGGAACAACUGGAGCCUCAUUAUCAAUGUUAAAAACGACAUUAUUGUCUACUUCUUCCAGCUGACUGAUGAACUCUGAAGGUAUAUUUUUUCCAUAGGUAAGGAGGUCAGACAUCCUUUUCUUCUCACUUGACAAGCUGAAUUCUUCUAAAUCACCACCUUGUUCAUCAUCAUCACUGAACACAGUCGUAGGCCAGAGGUCACGCCAGGCACGCACAGCUGUGUCUUUAGUCACUGUGUUGCAAGCAUUGGCAACAGCAUAUAUGGCAUCCUUCAUGCUCAACUCCUGAAAAUCUUCUACACCUACACCUCCGUUCACUGCUGCGAGCAUGCAAUUCAAGAAAGUAUUUUUAUAUUUACUUUCCAUUGAUCUAAAGAUACC